UUAUACAUGCAAGUCGGACGGAAACGAUGAUAGCUUGCUAUCAGGCGUCGAGCGGCGGACGGGUGAGUAACGCGUAGGAACCUACCUAAUAGAUUGGGAUAGCCAUUGGAAACGAUGAUUAAUACCGAAUACGCCCUACGGGGGAAAGCAGAGGACCUUCGGGCUUUGCGCUAUUAGAUGGGCCUGCGUGAGAUUAGAUUGUUGGUGAGGUAAUGGCUCACCAAGUCCACGAUCUCUAGCUGGUCUGAGAGGAUGAUCAGCCACACUGGAACUGAGACACGGUCCAGACUCCUACGGGAGGCAGCAGUGGGGAAUAUUGCACAAUGGGCGCAAGCCUGAUGCAGCCAUGCCGCGUGUGUGAAGAAGGCUCUAGGGUUGUAAAGCACUUUCAGUCGGGAGGAAAGAUUAGUAGUUAAUACCUGCUAGUUGUGACGUUACCGACAGAAGAAGCACCGGCUAACUCCGUGCCAGCAGCCGCGGUAAUACGGAGGGCGCAAGCGUUAAUCGGAAUUACUGGGCGUAAAGCGUACGUAGGUGGUUUGUUAAGUUGGAUGUGAAAGCCCAGGGCUCAACCUUGGAACUGCAUUCAAAACUGAUGAACUAGAGUAUGGUAGAGGUAAGUGGAAUUUCCUGUGUAGCGGUGAAAUGCGUAGAGAUGGGAAGGAACAUCAGUGGCGAAGGCGACUUACUGGACUAAUACUGACACUGAGGUACGAAAGCGUGGGUAGCAAACAGGAUUAGAUACCCUGGUAGUCCACGCCGUAAACGAUGUCUACUAGCCGUUGGGGUCCUUGAGACUUUAGUGGCGCAGCUAACGCACUAAGUAGACCGCCUGGGGAGUACGGUCGCAAGAUUAAAACUCAAAUGAAUUGACGGGGGCCCGCACAAGCGGUGGAGCAUGUGGUUUAAUUCGAAGCAACGCGAAGAACCUUACCUACUCUUGACAUCCAUAGAACUUUUUCAGAGAUGAAUUGGUGCCUUCGGGAACUAUGAGACAGGUGCUGCAUGGCUGUCGUCAGCUCGUGUUGUGAAAUGUUGGGUUAAGUCCCGUAACGAGCGCAACCCUUGCCCUUAGUUGCCAUCAUUUAGUUGGGGACUCUAAGGGGACUGCCGGUGACAAACCGGAGGAAGGCGGGGACGACGUCAAGUCAUCAUGGCCCUUACGAGUAGGGCUACACACGUGCUACAAUGGCCAGUACAAACGGUUGCAAUGUCGCGAGGCGGAGCUAAUCUGAGAAAGCUGGU
rnacentral:rRNA from 1 species